AAAGUCUGAAGAUGGGUUCAUCUGAUUAACCCACGUCCCGCGAUCUUGAUUCUCUACUCUACCCUACCCGGCUACUUUCGCUUCCACGAACCCAUCGUCGCCUCAUCGCUGCUUGCCACCGCCCAUCGUCGAGCACAAGCUCCGCACCGUCGGUUCUCUGUGGCUGAGCGGGAUCGCGGGCUCGAUCACCUUCAACUGGUCGCAGCCCAACAUGAAGACCAGCGUCAAGAUCAUUCACGCCAAUGGGCCGGGUGGAACUCCGGGAUGUUAAUCGUAAAGAAGAGUUUGUGAGGAGGAUUGAAGAAGCUACAAGAAGUAAUCUGAUAUUGAUUUUCAGCUAACUAAUAGUGAAGUAGCACAUAUAAUGAUGUAUUCUUGGUAUACGUUUGUGGCCUCUAUAGGACUGGAAAGCUACAGUUCCAUGCAAGUGAUGAUGAGAUUGUGCAACAACGUGACAAAGUAAUGAGGACAUUAACUUUUAUAGUUCUAAGUUCCCCUUGAGACUCACAUAAUCCAGCAUUUUUUUUUU